ACCCUUACUUUUUUUCUCAACGUCUACUUUUAUCAAAAAAAAUUUUUUUAUUUUUUUUAUUUUAUUUUUUCUUGACCUUUGUUUUUUUUUAUAUUUUAUUUUUAUCAACCUUUAUUUUUUUUCCCAUUCUCUCUCAACUUCUACAUUUUCUUUGAUUUUUAUUUUUUUUAAUAUUUUUCUUCAUUUUCUUCCUUUUUCGUAAUUUUAUUAUUUUGUUCUUUUCUUCUAUUUCUUUCAUUCAAGUUACAUCUCAUAAGCAAGAGUUGACACUAUCACAUUAUAAAGGCAAGACUUAUAACUUUCAAACAACAAACUAUAUUUCAUGAGUAAGAGUUGACACUACCACAUUGUAGAGGCAAGACUUAUGACUUUCAAACAACAAGUUAUGUUUCAUGGAUAAGAGUUGAUACUACCACAUUGUAUUUUGAUUUAUGAGAUGUUAUAUAACUCUUACCUUAGAGGCAAGACUUAGCUCAGAGACUUUCAAACAACAAAUUAUGUCCCAUGGAUAAGAGUUGACUCUACCACAUUAUGUUUUCAUUUAUGAGAUGUUCUACAACUAUUGUUUUAGAAGCAAAACUUAGCUCAAUGACUUUCAAAUAACAAUUAUGCCCCACGGGCAAGAGUUGACUCUACCACGUAAUGUUUUCAUGCCCUUAAAUUUGCUUUGAUGUAAAAAAAAAAAAAUUCCUUUACAGAUUAUCCAAUUUUUUAUUUAUUAGAAAAAUAUAAUAACAGUUGAGAAAAAAGAAAAAAACGAUCAAAUAAAAUAGAGAAAUAAAAAAAGAGAUUGAGAAAAAAAAUAAAAAAAUAAAGAUUAAGAAAAAAAUAAAGAAUUAAAAAAUUGAAAAAAAUAAAAAUAAGAGAGAAAAAUAAAAAUAAAGUUUGAGAAAAUUGAGGGGAAAAAAAGAGAAAUGAUAAAAAUAAAAAAUAAAAGAAAAUAAAGGUUGAGACAAAUGAAUUAAAACAUGAAAAUAAAAUUAAAGGAUAAAAUAAAAAAAGAGAAAUUAAUAAAAAUAAAAAUAGAAUUCGAUAGACAAAUGAGUACGAAAAGUUUAAAAAUAUUUGAGGUGUAGAGGACAAAACUGUACUUGUACUAUACUAAAAGGGGUAGGAGGACUAGUCUUUAACGACUUUUCUUAUUGGGGUCAAAAAUUCAAAGUCACCCACUAUUGGGGCCAUAACAUGUAAUUUCCUAUAGUUUACUUACAGAUAUUUUCAACACCAAUAAAUUAUUUACAUUAAUAUCAAAUAAAGAUUUAGUCCAAAAAUAAAAAUUGAAUAAGUACAUUCAGCUCUCAAACACAAGAUAUCAUACUAAUAUUAAGAGCCCAGCUUGUUCCACAUCCAAAAUAAGCGAUUGCAUAACUCAAUAACAUCUUACCUACAAAAUUUAAUACAUACCUUCUAAACAAUUUUCAAUAUUGCAUGCAAAAUUUCGCCCGUAAGUGUAUGCAAUUAUGAGCAGUUGCAGCAAGACUCUUCACUUGCUCUAGAAUACAUGUUUCAAUAAGCUUUUAUCCAGAGUUUUGUCUACCCAUCAGAGUUCAUAGCCACCUUUGUAUAUGAGAUGUCAAGAACAAAUAAGAGAAUUUAAAAUUAAUUUUGUCCAUUAUAGAGUCUUCUAAUUAAGGACUAUUAUUCAUUCUUUAUUAAGAACA
rnacentral:lncRNA from 1 species